rnacentral:rRNA from 1 species
CCUACGGGAGGCAGCAGUGGGGAAUAUUGCGCAAUGGGCGAAAGCCUGACGCAGCGACGCCGCGUGAGGGAUGAAGGUCUUCGGAUCGUAAACCUCUGUCAGCAGGGAAGAACGGUCACUGUGCUAAUCAGCAGUGAAUUGACGGUACCUGCAAAGGAAGCACCGGCUAACUCCGUGCCAGCAGCCGCGGUCAUACGGAGGGUGCCAGCGUUAAUCGGAAUUACUGGGCGUAAAGCGCUCGUAGGCGGUAUGUCAAGUCAAGUGUGAAAUCCCCGCGCUCAACGUGGGAACUGCCUUUGAAACUGGCAGACUGGAGUGUGUGAGAGGAUAGUGGAAUUCCAGGUGUAGGAGUGAAAUCCGUAGAUAUCUGGAGGAACAUCAGUGGCGAAGGCGACUAUCUGGCACAUAACUGACGCUGAGGAGCGAAAGCGUGGGUAGCAAACAGGAUUAGAUACCCCAGUAGUC